UCGCAGUUCUCCUCAGGAGGGUCUGUCUUAUAAAGGACCGUGAGUUUAUUCCAGGGCUCUGGGAGGCUGAGGCAGGAGGAU
rnacentral:miRNA from 1 species